CGCCCGCCUGGCAGGACGCCUGAGCAAGGCUUUGGAAAACCAGAGAGAUUAGAGCAGUGAGUUGCGCUGGUCAUGUUGGAUACCUGCGCGUUAGGAGAUUCUGGAGCCAGACGGAGAGCCGAAUGGCCUUCGCCAGCCCUGCCCCUCUCUUGCUUCAGAAGCCCUCAGAAACUCCCCGGUCGGCGACCCAGCCCGAGCCGCCUGGGGUCCCAAGGGAAGCUGAACGCCUGAAUGGGGAAAUGGAGAGAGAACCUGAAAGAGCCCCAAACUCGAGGACCUAUUGCUCCCCAAGAAUAACAUCUUCCAGAACUAGACAGAAACUAGGCGUCUGGGAACCCUGAAAUCCUUGGAGGAGUAGCAUCAUCCUGACCCUCUGUGCUCCUUUUGGCAAAGGACUUGCUUCCAUUUUUUGUUUGUUCAAUUGGCUGUUUGUUAAAUAAAUAAAACUCUUUUCAUA
rnacentral:lncRNA from 1 species